rnacentral:rRNA from 1 species
UACGUGGGGAGCGAGCGUUGUCCGGAUUCAUUGGGCGUAAAGGGUGCGUAGGCGGGUCUUUAAGUCAGGGGUGAAAUCCUGGAGCUCAACUCCAGAACUGCCUUUGAUACUGAGGAUCUUGAGUUCGGGAGAGGUGAGUGGAACUGCGAGUGUAGAGGUGAAAUUCGUAGAUAUUCGCAAGAACACCAGUGGCGAAGGCGGCUCACUGGCCCGAUACUGACGCUGAGGCACGAAAGCGUGGGGAGCAAACAGG